AACGGCGGUGGUAACUAUAACCAUCCUAAGGUAGCGAAAUUCCUUGUCGGGUAAGUUCCGACCUGCACGAAUGGCGUAACGACUUCCCCGCUGUCUCGACCAGGAACUCGGCGAAAUUGCAGUACGAGUAAAGAUGCUCGUUAAGCGCAGAAGGACGAAAAGACCCCGGGACCUUUACUAUACCUUGGUAUUGGUACCAGGUGCGGAUUGUGUAGCAUAGGCGGGAGGCUGUGAAGCACGGGCGCCAGCCCGUGUGGAGCCGGCAAGUGAAAUACCGCUCUGUCCCCAUCUGGUGCCUCACCUCGCAUGUCAUCCAUGCCAGGGACAGUGCCUGGCGGGUAGUUUAACUGGGGCGGUUGCCUCCCAAAGAGUAACGGAGGCGCUCAAAGGUCCGCUCAGCCCGGUUGGCAAUCGGGUGUCGAGUGUAAUCGCACAAGCGGGCUUGACUGUGAGAACGACGGUUCGAGCAGGGACGAAAGUCGGAGAUAGUGAUCCGGUGCCGGCGUACGGACGCGGCAUCGCUCAACGGAUAAAAGGUACCCCGGGGAUAACAGGCUGAUCAUUCCCAAGAGUCCAUAUCGACGGGAUGGUUUGGCACCUCGAUGUCGGCUCGUCGCAUCCUGGGGCUGGAGCAGGUCCCAAGGGUUCGGCUGUUCGCCGAUUAAAGCGGCACGCGAGCUGGGUUCAGAACGUCGUGAGACAGUUUGGUCUCUAUCCUCUGCGCUCGUUGGAAUCUUGAGGAGACCUGCCCAUAGUACGAGAGGACCUGGGUGGACGAACCUCUGGUAUGCCAGUUGUCGCGCCAGCGGCAUGGCUGGUUGGCCACGUUCGGAAGGGAUAACCGCUGAAAGCAUCUAAGCGGGAAGCCCGCUCCAAGAUAAGGAUUCCGUACACAUUCACGUGUUGAAGGCCCCAUAUGAGACCAUGUGGUGGAUAGACCGGACGUGGAAGCCCCGCGAGGGGUGGAGCUGACCGGCACUAACGGCCGAACGCACACACAC
rnacentral:rRNA from 1 species